AGUGUACUUUUGCCGCCCUGCAUGUAUCUCGUUCCCACUCGAAGAAUGCUUCAUACAUUUUGUAAACAACUGUUUGACAGUUUUUUAGAAAAUUUUGUUUGGGGCUCGACUAAAGGCGAUGAAGUAUUCUUCUGUUCGUGCAAAACGAUUGGUUAUUCUAAAGACAAAUCUUAUGAGGCUGCGAAUGAAUAUCAAACAUAUAAGCCAAUGAAACUAGUUUCAAAGUUCGUUUCGUACUUAUGGUCUGCUUGAUGUGCUAGUUUGCAUGCAAACGCUGCGAUAAAGAAGUUGGAAGCAAUAUGUUCGCCAUGUGUAACCAAGGUGUCCAGGCCAGUUAAUGGAAUCCUUCCGGUUUUGUUCAUGAAUUCGAUUGGUUUCCGAAAUAUGCUUGAAAAAUUUCGUAAUGUGUCGGUGAUUACGACGACAUGAAUGUCGGAGAAGAAGGACGCAAGAAUCUGAUCGAUUGUUUCGAACUGGCACCGGAACCGAAGAGUGACGUUGGUAUCAAAGACGAAGCUAUUGUCAAUGAAACGGAGAGGGACGAGAUUGCGGACGAUGAUCGAUUUCAGGAUGCUGUAGAGUAAAUUUACUAACUUGAGAAAUUACACAUCUUGCUAUUGUGCUUAUACACCAAUAAACAUUAAACCACGGUCCUAAAACUGAAAAUCGUGCACCAUCUGCCCACACAUUAUUUUAUUAUUUGCCAAAUAUUGUUACACACUUAGAAAUUUUCUACUGGAUGAGGUUUGAUAAAAUUUUCAAGAGUUUCAAGACGCACUAUACUGGAAGGAGAUUAUGCGCGCUUCACGCCUGGAACAUGUAGUAUAUACAUAUCAUAUGCUCGUAUAUACAUAUAUUUAAACUGGACGGUUGCUGUAUUUGAAUGAAUGUUAUAUAUCAACAGUAUAUUAAAGAAAGAUUUCAUUUGAAAAACAAGUAGAAAUUAUAUUGAAAGUCAACUUUCGUUAUUUGAUUUUGGUAAUCAUUUGCACAUAUUGUUUUCAAUCAUUUGCUCAUAUUUGUUUCCAUAACAGCCAUCAGAAAAGCAUUCGAUUGGCACAGCUAACUACUCUCUGUGCAAGAUCGUGGUUUUAAUAAAAUCUAAAUGCAUUUGAAAACACACAUCGCGAACCGAUGUUGCUGAAUCGUUUUACCGUCUGGUUACUAUUGACAAAUUGUGUUGCAAAUCUUACGGAAUUCUAAAAAUCAAACAAGAGUGAAAUUAAGACAAUUGAACACAAAUGUAUAAACUACCGGAGUGAGUUUUCCCGUUUAGGGUCUGGUGAAUUCCAUUUACAAUGAAUUGUUGAAUGAAUAGGAGUACUCUCAAUCAACUGGAUUAAUCACUUUGAUAUAUUUCCAUUUCUUCCUGAAGAUUUACGUGCUGGAGUGCCUCUUCGCGAGUAGGGAAUUCAUACAGGGUAAUAAAAAUCUUUAAACCCCAUUCAUGUAUCAGAACAGAAUCCAAAAAUUCUGUAUGCUGCAAAAAAAAAAAUAAAAACACACACGCAU